GACGAACGCUGGCGGCGUGCUUAACACAUGCAAGUCGAACGGUAAGGCCCUUCGGGGUACACGAGUGGCGAACGGGUGAGUAACACGUGGGUGAUCUGCCCUGCACUUCGGGAUAAGCCUGGGAAACUGGGUCUAAUACCGGAUAGGACCACUGCCUACAUGGGUGGUGGUGGAAAGCUUUUGCGGUGUGGGAUGGGCCCGCGGCCUAUCAGCUUGUUGGUGGGGUGAUGGCCUACCAAGGCGACGACGGGUAGCCGGCCUGAGAGGGUGACCGGCCACACUGGGACUGAGAUACGGCCCAGACUCCUACGGGAGGCAGCAGUGGGGAAUAUUGCACAAUGGGCGCAAGCCUGAUGCAGCGACGCCGCGUGAGGGAUGACGGCCUUCGGGUUGUAAACCUCUUUCAGCACCGACGAAGCGCAAGUGACGGUAGGUGCAGAAGAAGGACCGGCCAACUACGUGCCAGCAGCCGCAGUAA
rnacentral:rRNA from 1 species